CGAUGUCGGCUCAUCUCAUCCUGGGGCUGGAGCAGGUCCCAAGGGUACGGCUGUUCGCCGUUUAAAGAGGUACGUGAGCUGGGUUUAGAACGUCGUGAGACAGUUCGGUCCCUAUCUUCCGUGGGUGUAGGAUACUUGAGAGGAGUUGCCCCUAGUACGAGAGGACCGGGGUGAACGAUCCACUGGUGGACCUGUUGUUGCGCCAGCAGCAGUGCAGGGUAGCUAUGAUCGGACAGGAUAACCGCUGAAGGCAUCUAAGCGGGAAGCCCCCCUCAAAACAAGGUAUCCCUGAGAGCCGAAGUAGACCACCUCGUCGAUAGGCCAGAGAUGUAAGCGUAGUAAUACGUUCAGUUGACUGGUACUAAUUGCUCGAUAGGCUUGAUUUG
rnacentral:ncRNA from 1 species